AGACCGGAGUUCGAUUCCCGCUCGUUUGUAUAGUUUUUAUGCCUUUUCUACACAUAGUGUAAGUGUAGUGUAUUAGUAGAAUUUACUCUAUAGAAACAUUUUGAGUCAUUUUUGUUAUCCGUUUUUGUAUAUUUGGUUUAUUGUGCGACUGUAAAUAUUAUUUAUAUCGGCACAAUAAAUAUACUUGUUAGAGAAAAAAGAAGUGGUCAGCAUUCCCGUCUGCGACACGGGAGGCCGGUAGAUGGUGUCGAGACGAGCACACAUUCUACCGAUAUUCACUCACAUAAAUCAAUUCAAAUAGUGCGAAAAUACAUAGUUCAGCAUAAGUUUGAAGAAUUAGACAAUUCACUGCGGAACGACGCGAACACAUUUUAAGGUUAGGAUGACGUACCUUACACGUGUGAAAAUUGUAAAACCGUGCACAAAAGCGUACCGAAGCCAAACCGAAACUGCUGAUGUGCCUCUCCCUCAUCCGGCCAAAUGCACAAUGACCUCCAGGGAUGACGAGAGCGCAACAACAAAUAUUUCCGACAGCAGAUACGAAAAUUCUUCUUUAACCUCGUAGGUACAACGUGCCACCAUAGUAGCUUUCGCGGAUAUGAUCUUUUUGAACGGGAGAUACGGGACUAAUUUUAAAACAAAUAUCAAUACCGGGCUUAAAUAAAAAGUUAUACUAUGAUGUAUCCACGGAAUUUGUUAGGCCAUUGUUUACUCUCUUUUCUCAUGGAGCAGCGUUUAAUGCAUUACAUGGACUUUCACACGCCGGAAUCAAUGCAAUAACCAAGCUCGUGUCCCAACGAUACGUUUGGUCAACCAUCAAAACCGACUCACAGUGACCAAUUUGGUCAUUUUAGGCGGCCGAAAGUCAAUUUCAAAAAUUUCGCCUAAGCUGUAAAAUUUUUGCUCCCCAAGAUAGUUGAAUGUGUGAACAACUGUAACACUUCAUGAAUAAUUUUAUGAUGAUAUCCUGUGAGAUCCAACCUUCUUUCAAGCAAUAUCAGAUUCGACAAAAGUUUGUAUUUAUUAUGCACAAAAAAUUGUUUGCUCAUAUUUUCUCUUUCUAUUUUUAGAGUAUUCUUCCUAA